rnacentral:sRNA from 10 species
AAAUGAAUUAAGAGGCAACUCUUAACUGACCGGCUAGGGAAAGAUCGAGAGAUUCAAGCCUAGAGGGCAGAAAACUCUGCGGAGUAGCGCUAAAAUCGUAGAGUGAAAGGCAUGGCGGUAGCGCAUAAAACGACGUGCCAA